rnacentral:rRNA from 1 species
AAGGAAUAUUGGUCAAUGGAGGGAACUCUGAACCAGCCAUGCCGCGUGAAUGAAGAAGGCGCUAUGCGUUGUAAAGUUCUUUUCUCAGAGAAGAAAAGUUUGGAUUUAUCCGAAUCUGACGGUAUCUGAGGAAUAAGCACCGGCUAACUCCGUGCCAGCAGCCGCGGUAAUACGGAGGGUGCAAGCGUUAUCCGGAAUUACUGGGUUUAAAGGGUGCGCAGGCGGAUAGAUAAGUUAGUGGUGAAAACUUCGGGCUAAACCCGAGACCUGCCAUUGAUACUGUCUAUCUUGAAUGAAGUUGAAGCUGGCGGAAUGUGUGGUGUAGCGGUGAAAUGCAUAGAUAUCACACAGAACACCGAUUGCGAAGGCAGCUGGCUAAGCUUAAAUUGACGCUCAGGCACGAAAGCGUGGGGAUCAAAC